GAUGAACGCUAGCGGCAGGCCUAACACAUGCAAGUCGAGGGGCAGCACAGAAACAGCAAUGUUUUGGUGGCGACCGGCGGACGGGUGCGUAACGCGUAUGCAACCUACCUUUAACAGGGGGAUAACGGAGAGAAAUUUCCACUAAUACCCCAUAACAUCGAUCAAGGCAUAUUGAUUGGUUGAAAACUACGGUGAUUAAAGAUGGGCAUGCGUUGUAUUAAGUAGUUGUUGAGGUAAUGGCUCACCAAGCCUACGAUACAUAGGGGGACUGAGAGGUUAGCCCCCACACUGGUACUGAGACACGGACCAGACUCCUACGGGAGGCAGCAGUGAGGAAUAUUGGUCAAUGGGGGCAACCCUGAACCAGCCAUGCCGCGUGCAGGAAGACGGCUCUAUGAGUUGUAAACUGCUUUUAAACAGGGAUAAAGCACAGUAUGUAUACUGUGUUGAAGGUACUGUAAGAAUAAGGAUCGGCUAACUCCGUGCCAGCCGCCGCCGUAA
rnacentral:rRNA from 1 species